ensembl:lncRNA
UUGUGCAUUCCAUUGAGUAUAUUUUGUAAAAGUCUCAUCCAUAAACAGCAAAAACAGUUUACAGUAAAUUACAAACCUUGAAAAUGCAAAGCAUUUUCCAAAUACAAGCAUGACAAAGAUUUGAAGGAAAUUUUUAAAAAACAAACAAAAAAAACAAGUGAACAUACAAAAGGUGUCUUAAUCAACUAUCAACAAAAAAUGUCUAUAUCUUAUGACAAGAAGAGUGGAAGGAAAUAAAGGCAACUGGCACAGAGUUAAAAGGCUAAGCAGUCAGGAGUAAACUCAAGAGACAAUGAUAGAUUUGGCAAUUUCAAAAUGAAUGAUCAUACUGUACAGUAUGAAACCGUUGUCACAGCUCCGUUUCCUUACAAAAGGAAUGUUGUUUAGUUUACUUUUAGGUUUAGAAGUGUAGACAAGGCAACAGAGAAAAGUGGAUUAUGUAUUCAAUUUCCUCCAAGUCCACUGCACAUAUACGACUCUAAACUGAGAUCCAAUGGUCACUUUCAUAAAAUAAUGAUCCGAGUACAAUAGCAAAGCAUGCCACUAUAAAAAGCUUUAAAAUAUACAGUGAUCUAUUUCACAGAUACACAGAAGAACAGAUGUAUCACUUUUCCAUAAAAAGAUGAGUUAUUAUAUAGAGCAAUCCAAGUAGAAUAGUAGUCCUAUAUUCUAGAAAAAAAUUAAAUAUACAGAUAUAGUUAAUAAGGAGUUACAAUGUGUAACCCAGUUGUGCACAACACUCAAUACAUUUAUCUACGUACUUCCAUUCAUCUUUUUGUGGUUACAUAAAAGAGGAACAUCUAGCGUGAUGGAUGUUUGACAGUUACCGAAUAUUCCAUAAGUCAGUCCCAUAAUUAUUGUUGUAAAAAACCUAUUUCAAGCUACAACUAGAGUGAUCAGUACACUGCAAUACCCAACAUAUACCAUGGACGGUAGUAGAGAAUAUACACUCACUGGCCACUUUAUUAGGUACACCUUGGACCCCCUUUUGCCUUCACCUUCCUUAAUUCUUUGUGGCAUACUUUCAACAAGGUGUUGGAAACAUUCCUCAGAGAUUUUGGUCCAUAUUGACAUGAUAGCAUCAUGCAGUUGCUACAGAUUUGUCGGCUGCACAUCCAUGAAUCCAAUCUCCCGCUCCACCACAUCCCAAAAGUGCUCUAUUGGAUUGAGAUUUGGUGACUGUGGAGGCAUUUGGAGUACAGUGAACUCAUUGUCAUGUUCAAGAAACCAGUUUGUACACUGUGGUGCUGAAGGGAUGGGCAUGGCUAGCAACGAUACUCAGGCUGUGGUAUUUAAACCAUGCUCAAUUGGUACUUAGGGGCCCAAAGUGUGCCAAGAAAGUAUCCCCCACACCAUUACACCACCAGCAGCAGCCUGAACCGUUGAUACAAGACAGGAUCCAUGCUUUCAUGUUGUUUACACCAAAUUCUGACCCUACCAUCUGAAUAUACAAACAGCAUAUUAGCUGCCCCACAAGAGACAGCAACAUCCUGGACCACAGUUACACCAUUAUAAAAGGAGCAUACCACCCUGUUCCGGCGGUAGCUUUGGGUCACUCUGAUCACUGUCUGGUCCAUUUCAUCCCCACAUACAGGCAGAAACUAAAAUCUGCAAAGCCUGCGGUUAAAACUGUAAGGAAAUGGACCAGUGAGGCAAAGCAGGAACUUCAAGCCUGUUUUGACUGCACAGACUAGUGUUUUUGAAGCUGCCAACAACAACCUGGGUAAUCUGACAGACACUGUGACAGCAUACAUCAGUUUCUGUGAGGGCAUGUGUGUGCCAACCAAAACAUUCAGGACUUUGAACAAUAACAAUCCAUGGUUCACCACCAAACUGCAACAGCUCCACCACGCCAAGGAGGACGCCUACAGGAGUUGGGACAGACUUGUUUAAGAAGGCCAGACCACACUGAACAAAGAGAUCAGAUCAUCCCGGUUCCCAAGAAGCCCUCCAUCACAGGACUGAAUGUCUACAGACCAGUAGCUCUGGCAUCUGUGGUCAUGAAGUCCUUCGAGAGACUGGUGUUGAGCCACCUGAAAUCCAUAGUAGGAUCUCUGCUGGACCCCAUGCAGUUUGCGUAUCGCCCAAACAAGUUGGCUGAUGAUGCAGUCAAUCUGGGGCUGCACUAUAUCCUGCAACAUCUAGAUGACCCUGGGAGUUAUGCAAGAAUCCUAUUUUUGGAUUUUUCACCAUCAUCCCUGAAAUCCUGUCCACCAAACUCCCCCACCUCAAUGUGUCUCCAUCCAUGUGUCAAUGGAUCACCAGCUUCCUGACAGACAGGAGGCUGUCAGCACUGGCGCCCCCCAGGGGUGUGUCCUGCCUCCACUGCUCUUCUCCCUCUACGCCAACGACUGCACCUCCAAGCACCCAGCUGUAAAACUCAUCAAGUUUGCAGACAAUACAACAGUCAUUGGCCUGAUCCAAGACAGUGACGCUCUGCGCAUAUCAGUAGGAGGUUGAGCGGCUGGUAAUUUGGUGCAGCCAGAACAACGCGGAGCUGAAUACACUGAAGACUGCGGAGAUGAUCGUGGACUUCAAGAGACAGCCCUCAUCACUGCUCCCCCUCACCAUCAGCAACAGCCCUGUGUCAGCUGUGGAGUCCUUCAAGCUCCUGAGGACUACAAUCUCUCAGGACCUGAAGUGGGAGAAGAACAUCUGCUCCAUCCUAAAAAAUGCUCAGCAGAGAAUGUAUUUCCUGCGAAGCGACAUGGCCUGCCACAGAAGCUAUUGAUCCAGUUCUACACUGCAGUCAUCAAAUCUGUCCUGUGCACCUCUGUCACUGUGUGGUUUGGAGCAGCCACGCUGUAUCAUUAUGUAGCAAUUAUCAUUUUGCACUACAGUGUUUAGAUAUUCCUUUGUAGCUUGUAAAUAUCUGUAUAUACUGUGGCUAUAUAUACUGUGGCUAUAUUAAUUUUUAUUACUAUUUUUUCCCUGUUCUUCUAUGUAAUUAUUAUUCUUUCCUUAUUCCUAGGGUGAUACCAACAGCUGAAACCAAAUUUAUUGUAUGUUGUGUGCGUACUUGGCCAUUAAAGCUGAUUCUGAUACUGAAUGUCGCAGCUGAAAUGGAGACCCAUCAGACCUCGCAACGUUUUUCCAAUCUUCUAUUGUCCAAUUGUGGUGAGCCUGUGUGAAUUUCUAGCCUCAGUUUCCUGUUCUUAGCUGACAGGAGUGGCACAAGGUAUGGUCUUCUGCUGCUGUAGCCCAUCUUCUUGGUUGUAGCAAGUGGUUAUUUGAAUUACUGUUGCCUUUCUAUCAUCUUGAACUAGUAUUCCCAUUCUCCUCUGACCUCUCACAUCAACAAGACAUUUUGGUCCACACAACUGCCACUCACUGGAUAUUUGCCUUUUUUCAGACCAUUAUCUGUAAACCCUAGAGGUGGUUGUACGCGAAAAUUCCAGUAGAUCAGCAGAUUGUUAAAUACUCAGACAACCAACUGGCACCAACAACCAUGCUACAUUCAAAGUCACUUAAAUCCCCUUUCUGCCCCAUUCUGAAGCUCAGUUUGAAAUUCAGCAAGUUGUCUUGACUCCGUCUACAUGUCUAAAUGCAUUAAGUUGUGGCCAUGUGAUUGGCUGACCGACUAUUUGUGUUAACAACCAAUCGAGCCGGUGUACCUAAUAAAGUGGCCGGUGAGUGUAUAUGAAAGUCUUCUCAUAUGCAUUUGUACAGAGUGAUAGGUGAUUGUGAGUAAUACAAUACACUUAGGUAUGCACAUCCAGUAUAAAUACUGUUUGAUGGCUAUGUACACUGUGUGUGAUUAUGAAAUACUAGAAAGAACACAAGCUACCCCAAUCCCAUUUCAUCAGGCCGAGAUAUAUUGACAGGAUGUUUUUACAUCAUGUCACAUAUGAAGUACAAAUGCACCAAUACUGUAUUUUUAUUGUGACACAGGUUUCAUGAAGUAUUGUAAAAGGUUCUGAGAACAUCUCUUAAGUCCCCUUUUAAAAAUAAUUAAGGAGGCAGUCAGUAAUUGUUUUUACUUUUCCAUAACAUAAAUGCAUAAAACAUAUGUAAACUGGGGAGUGACAGGGUUGUGGAUGAAUACCAGUUACCUUUUGCUUGAAGUUGGUAUUUUAGAUCCUGUUUGUGAAUUCUGGAACUUGUAUUUUUACACCAAUAAAGUAAGUGGCUAAUUAUUAUGAUAUAAAUGAAGUGUUCAUAUUAGUAUGUUCAAUUGAAGUCCAGUAAUGAGGAUGUUUUUCUGUUAGUACUACAGUUCUUUAUGGAUAUGACAUUUCUUGUCCUUUGUAAAUUAGUAAAAAAAAAAAGGUAGUUUGUUUUUUUAAUAAAAUAAGAAAACAACAAAAAUAAAUUAACUAAGACUGAAUUAGGCUGAACAUGAGGUAACAGUGGUACUGAAAUAUUAGGUGAAAUAUUAGAAUUCCUCUUUUUCUGUUUAAUUCAGUUGGUUUGUUUGCGAAACAGGUUAGCCUAGCACUACAUUUUUGCUAGAAUUCAUUUAUCUAAAUCGAAAAUAUUAGAUUACAGUGUAA